rnacentral:lncRNA from 1 species
UGUGCCGAAGGUAUUUUUAUUAAAGACUACUCUUUAUACUAAGUCUAGCAAAAUUGGUUUGACAAUUUUCUGAAUUUUCUACGAGUUUUGGUGAAUUUUCAAAGUUAAACAUAUAUUCUGCCGAUAUAGAAAGAUAAACUGCGGCAAACUUACAGUCUAGCCCCUAGGUCUACAGUUUAAACACGCAAAGGCCCCUAGUUUUUGCACUAAAUGAAUUUGAAUUUGGCUGAUCUUUGACUCGAAUUUUGAAGGUGUUCCACUAAAAACUAGCAAAAGUUUAAAUAAGAAAAGUUGUUUAUUUUGAAAAUUUCUACAACUUUUGUAUUGUGAAAAAGUGAAGUUGUUAUACAAAAUUUGAAUUUAUUAACUGCCCCCAAUUUAAGCCUUUUUAAUGCAUUUUGACCAAAUUAAGUGUUUGAACUUCCGAUUCAAUUUGGUCUUUUGGGGUUUUUGAGAUGUUUGCUACCAUUCAAAUCUGGUUUGGGUAUUUUUCAUAUUUAGCCUUUGUAUUGACUUGGUUUGGUUCAAUUUGGCCUCUAAUUGUGAUGUUCGCUGUGCUUGAGUGAGUUUGCACUUAAUCAAGGACAAGAUUUGAAAUCUAUGUGCUAAGUUCAAACCCUUAAACACUCUAAUUAGGCUUUUAAGAGACUUUACAUUAAUGCUUAACCAUUUCAAUUUUUUUAUUUAUUUCUUAAUUUCUCUUAAUUUGGCUCUUAACUACUGGAGAUGUGACACCGGGCGGGCGGCCGGGGCGCAGGGACAGAGGAGGCCGGGGUGGGUGUGGCGGAUCCACUUCGGAUUUGCUUGGUUAAACAUGACUAAGCCGCCUAAUACGCGGCACUCAUGCCUAAACCAAGUAAACACGAAGUGCCGUCGGAUUUCAUCCGAUUUAACCACUUGAACAGGACCGAAUAGCAAACCCACACGAAGGUGAGCGGUUCCAGAGAAUACAAUAAGUCCACCGAGUUAACAAAUUAACCAUUUAGUUUGACCAUAAAACAACAUCAGAGUUUACAAGUUCAGAAGAAAAACAACAGAAGGUAAAACAACUAGCGGAAGCUAACUCGUCG